AACGUAGGAGGCAAGCGUUAUCCGGAGUUACUGGGCGUAAAGCGUGCGCAGGCGGUUUUGUAAGUCUGUCGUGAAAGCCCCGGGCUCAACCUGGGAAUUGCGAUGGAGACUGCAAGGCUUGAAUCUGGCAGAGGGGGGUAGAAUUCCACGUGUAGCAGUGAAAUGCGUAGAGAUGUGGAGGAACACCGAUGGCGAAGGCAGCCCCCCUGGGACUAACACGAUGACGCUCGAUGCACGAAAGCGUGGGGAGCAAACAGG
rnacentral:rRNA from 1 species